rnacentral:rRNA from 1 species
CCUACGGGUGGCAGCAGUGAGGAAUAUUGGUCAAUGGACGAGAGUCUGAACCAGCCAAGUCGCGUGAAGGAUGACUGCCCUAUGGGUUGUAAACUUCUUUUAUACGGGAGUAAAAUCUUCCACGUGUGGGUUUUUGUAUGUACCAUAUGAAUAAGGAUCGGCUAACUCCGUGCCAGCAGCCGCGGUAAUACGGAGGAUCCGAGCGUUAUCCGGAUUUAUUGGGUUUAAAGGGUGCGUAGGUGGAUUGUUAAGUCAGUUGUGAAAGUUUGCGGCUCAACCGUAAAAUUGCAGUUGAGACUGGCAGGCUAGAGUACAGUAGAGGUAGGCGGAAUUCGUGGUGUAGCGGUGAAAUGCUUAGAUAUCACGAAGAACUCCGAUUGCGAAGGCAGCUCACUGGACUGCAACUGACACUGAGGCUCGAAAGUGUGGGUAUCAAACAGGAUUAGAUACCCUUGUAGUC